GCAGGCGGCUCAUCUCUCAGCCUUGCUUGGAGACAAGAGUGCUAAUAUCAGAGGGCAUGGCUAACCAAGGUGAAGGUUCACUGGAGGGGCUAGAGCCCUAAGUAUUCCCAGGAAAAACUGGCCUUUCCCAGCAAGCUCUCAGGACCGACGGAGAUGGAUUUGAACCUGACAGAGGCCCCAGCUUUCUAAAAUUUUUAAACUCUGGGCUCCAUCUGGGUUGAGGGCAAGAUGCAAGAAGUGAAAGAGGCUGCUGAAGCCUCAGAGAAAUGUACCUUGAAAAACUGACCUGCCCUUGAGCCCAUCAACUCCCUCUCCCCACUUUGUUUCUUUCCUCUGAAUUUAGAACCAUCCCCUUAGCAACGCUUGUUUCCAUGGUUUCCUCCUUCACAAAGAUCCCCGAACCCCUCCUCUCUUUUUCCUUCCGACAGUAAGGGGUGAUAGGGAUCCUCAGGGUGGCCAUUCCAUGUAACCAUGGAGACAAGUAACGGAGCCUUCAUUUAUCUUUUUGUGAAGAGAGCUAGGGAAUAUGGAAGAGAGGGGCGGGGGAGGGUGCAGGCUCCAAACGCAUACGUGACAUAGCGCCCAUUAUUAAAGGCUUAGAGCUUGGUCAUUGCCCCAGUCAGACUCUGGCAUAGAUGGGGUCACUAAAGGAGGUGGCUCUUGAUAGCACCAUCAUGGUGGAGAUUCUGUCCACUCCCAGGAUCCCCUCCAGCCAAGAACAAGGGAAGACGGACCAGUGGGGUCUGUACUUACCUUAAGUUUUCUCAAGCUGUUGCCAGAUGAUUCCUGUCUUGGAAGAGAAGGAACUUUGACGCGCCCCUCCUUUUUGAGAAGUGGAGACUAAUGAUUUACUCUUAACCCCCAGGAAUUUUGAGGAAGCGGUUGUUGACUCACAUCCAGACCAGGGAAGGAAGGAGCUCCAAAGCAGGGAAGAUGAAACCCUUCCCCUCCUUUUCUCGGUGAACCCUGUCUCGCCUCCUGGCCUCCCUCGCGAG
ensembl:lncRNA